rnacentral:rRNA from 1 species
UACGUAGGGGGCAAGCGUUAUCCGGAUUUACUGGGUGUAAAGGGAGCGUAGACGGCAGCGCAAGUCUGGAGUGAAAUCCCAUGGCUUAACCAUGGAACUGCUUUGGAAGCUGUGCAGCUGGAGUGCAGGAGAGGUAAGCGGAAUUCCUAGUGUAGCGGUGAAAUGCGUAGAUAUUAGGAGGAACACCGGUGGCGAAAGCGGCUCUCUGGCCUGUAACUGACACUGAGGCUCGAAAGCGUGGGGAGCAAACAGG